UAUUUGUCAAUGGAUCUCUAUGAAAUUGUACCACAAGGUUCCAUACCACACACAGAAGGUUGGGGUUGAUUUUGUGGGUUGUGGCUUUAAUCGUUAAGAAACAGAAACUAGAGGCCAAAUACUAAUUUCUAAUACUGGCUAAGCUGGUUCUAACAUAAAUUAUUUCUGAUCUAUAUAAAGAAGCAACAAAUACUGAUAUGGCAGGAGAUACACACCAAACAGGGUGUGUUAAUUAUUAUAUUUAGUUUGUAAACAGAUUUACUAAGUAUUGCGCAACAGCAAAGUAUUGCACAACAGCAAGAAAUCUUCAAUAAAAAAUAAAUACAAAUCUUUUAACCAAUUUCAAUGAGGAUUAAUUUAAAGUCUUGAAUUGUUUGAGGUUUUUAUACGACCGCAAAAAAAUUUUGUGGUCGUAUAUUGGUAUGAUGUUGGCGUCGUCGAUGUCGUCGUCAUCGUUGUCGUCGUCCGAAAGCACAUUGGUUUUCGCACUCUAACUUUAGUUUAAGUGAAUGGAUCUCUAUGAAAUUUUACCAUAAGGUUCAAUACCACAAAAGGAAGGUUGGGAUUGAUUUUGGGGGUUAUGGUCCUAACAGUUUAGGAAUUAGGAGCCAAAAAAGGGGCCCAAAUAAGCAUUUUUCUAGUUUUCAGACAAUAACUUGUGGAACGGUGUAUGGAUCUCUCUGAAAUUGUACAACAAGUUUCCAUACCACAAAGGGAUGGUUAGGACUGGCUUGAGGGAGUAAUGGCUCAAACCAUUUAGAAAUUAGGGGCAAAAAAGGGGGAAAACAAGGCUUUCCUUGUUAAUGGACAAUCACUUUUAAGUACAAUGUUAAAUUUGGAUUACCUCCCUUACACUGCUUUAAAAUUAUGUAUAAAGAAUUUUUGUAUUGUUUUGAGGUGAUUAGCUGUCAAUUUAUUUUAAGAAGUUACUAAUAAAAAUGCUGAUUAAAGAUAUAUUAUUUUUAGA